rnacentral:rRNA from 1 species
GAUCCUGGCUCAGGAUGAACGCUGGCGGCGCGCCUAACACAUGCAAGUCGAACGAUUAAAGCACCUUCGGGUGUGUAUAAAGUGGCGAACGGCUGAGUAACACGUGGGCAACCUGCCCCUCUCAUUGGGAUAGCCACGGGAAACCGUGGAUAAUACCGAAUACUUCGGGACUUCCGCAUGGAAGACCCGAGAAAGCUCCGGCGGAGAGGGAUGGGCCCGCGGCCUGUUAGCUUGUUGGUGGGGUAACGGCCUACCAAGG